rnacentral:lncRNA from 1 species
GCACAUUAACCCACCGCCUCCACUGCACAGCAUCACCUCCAAAGGAGCAGCUUCAGGACAGGAUGCUGUGGCUGCGUCUGUCCUGCUGCUCUGACAGGCUGAGGAGAGACUCUGCAAACUGCACCAAACCUGACAUUAGUGGCCAAAUAUUAUGACAAUAUGACGGCUCAAACAUUCUUAUUGGCACUUUAUUACAUUUUAAUUAUUGUCAGGUGUUUGGUUGUUGGUCAUUCCUGCAUUACUGGUUGUUACAUGGUUUUAUCAAAGUUGUUUCCAUUCAAGACUGCCAGUGACAGCCGCAGUGAGACCUCAGUGUAUGUUCCGCUGUCAGAAAGAAAAGCCACCAUUUCCUGUUUGAAGAGUACGUCUGGUGUGUGGGGGGCUCUGACAAAUUUAGGUUAAGUCGUCUUAUCUGCGUGUUCACUUUCUGCUCUGAAGAUUCACAGAUACGCUUCUUGCCUUCCUUUUGGAUUAACGUCACAGGUGAGGUUCAGCAGUGAAGGAGCUAAAAUAAGGCUGAUGUGCUCAUUAUAUUCAAAGCUCGACAGGACAUCGGAAAGUGUGUGACGCAUGUGUUUGCCUAGUUUAUAUUUGUUGCUUGUAUUCGUUGCUUUGAAUUUACUUUGCUUUAUAACGUGAGACCCUCGUUCGGUGCUGUCGUCCCGCGACUGUAUAUCCCGUGUUUGCCGCAUUUGAUAAUUUGCAAUGAAAUACUUUGAUUUCAAGGUGAAAUGGAGGAAGUUUUGAAAUAUUUGAGCAUCAACUGGACCUUGAUAUUCUGCCUACUCAACAUGUUCUCAUCAGCAGAGGGAAGCCAGAUCUCAAAGACGGUUGGCAGCCCAGUGAGCCUGCACUGCAACGCCUCCACCAGUAAAUUCAUUCAGCUGACAUGGAAUAUGAAUGGAGUUUACCUGUUCAGUUACAGCUCCGGCGGAGAGCUUCACUACAGUCCAGAAGCCGCAGCGCUAAACUUGAAUGUUUCUACAUCAGCGUCUCGGCUGUAUGCGCUCCUGAUCGACAAGGCCCAGAAGCAUCACACUGGAAACUACAGCUGCGAGUCGACUACAGUGGCAGGAAUCUUCAGCCAAAACUGGGAGCUCAUUGUAACCGAGAGAGAAGAGAAAAAGCUCAACGUCCUUAUGAUUUCUGUGGGAACGACAGUCGUCUGUGUGUGUUUUCUGAUCUUCAUAUUCACUUGGAUUUUCCUGAGAACCGUCUGCAAGAAGGACAAAGAGUAUGUCGCAUUUAUGCUUUUAUUUGAUUGAACAUAUGAGUCUGUAUGAAUGUAAGAGUGACUUUACAGCAGUGGGAUGAAAAUGAAAUGUCUUUUUCUUUUUUUGACAGAAUUACCAUUAACCCCAUACAAGAAAUGGUGAGUAAAUUAACCCUGAUGUUCUCUGUGGAGAAGACACAAACUUUUACUCUGCAGUUGUUGUUUUGCAAAGAGACUAAUAGGAAUGUUUGUCUUGAUGCCGAAUAUUUGAACUAAGCGAUGUUUCUUUUUGUUUUUCAGCAGCAAACUGAGGACAUUUAUGAAAACUGCUUGAAAAUUGAACAAAGAAACAAGAAACAUUCCCGUGGUGACAAGCCUUAGUGAAUCGAAUAUUUAAGAAAACCUGUUCUGAACGUCAUACUUUUUUAGUUUAUUUGUUUUUAAUGUACUUUAUGUGAAAGAGCGCACAAUAUUUGUUUUUUUUUCUCCUUCUCUCUCCGGCCACCGGAACACCUGCACAUUCUUAUUUAAGUUAAGUAAAUUAAUUUCAGGUAAAAUCUCUGACUCUUAGUUCUGCAUAUCCACCUGCACCAUUUACUUUUAUUUCUAUUUUAGUCCAGAAGCUGUAGCUCUUGUUAUGACAGGUGUUUCAUGUGGACAGAGGGAAGUGGUCGCCCGUGGGCAGGGCAGAAAAACUCACAGGAAGUACGCCACACUGGGUGGGCGGCGUGGGAGUCUCUUCUGAAGCCAUCAGUGCUGAGAGACUAAAUGAUUUUACUUUUACAGCACGUUUCCACUGCAUUAGUGGUUCAGCGUGUUGCUCCAGGGAACAUCGACACAAGAGCAACUAGCAACCCUCCAGCCGAGCCACAGCCGCCCUGCAUCAUCAUUUCAGCUCAAAGCUUUAAUUUUCCUGCUCUCAGCUUGAACCGCAGCCUCACGAGUCAAAAGAGGGCAGAGCGACGCAAAGCAGAGCAGAGCUCUCAGUUUGUCAGUGAGUCAAACGUUUCCAUGCAUGAACCGUGACCUGGAACCAAAUGGACGCCCUGGAUAUGAAAAGAUUAGUUCCAAGCAUCAGGGAGGGGCCGAAACCAAAUCAACCAAAUCACAUCUUAUUUACAGAGCACCUUUCACACACGGUGUGGCUCAAAGCGCUUGGCAGGUUGAAAACACAAAAAGGUUAAUAAAACCACACCACCCCCUUUGCGCGCGCACACACACACACACACACACACACACACACACACACACACACACACACACACACACACACCUCCUGUCCACCCACGACCAACACACAUCUGUCUCCUCUGGGAGGGGCCAGUGACGGCGGUCUGGACAGGAUUUUCUGACUCAUUUAAUUUCCACUGUUACACCCUGUGGGAUGAAAAACAAGAUGGAUGGAUGGAUGGAUGGAUGGAUGGAUGGAUGGGGAAAAAAGAGAAAGACAGGACUCUGAGUGUCCACAUGCUCAGUAAAGUGGCUGGUAAUGAAUUAAAGGAAGCUGCAGCGUAAAUCAAACAACAGUCCCAAAAGUAAAGGUGUGAUCAGAAUAAUCUAUUGAUAACAUUUACUUUUUGAUUCACAGUUUCACAUUUUUUAGAGUUUAUAAGGGAGAAGAGCUGCAAUGGUUAGAAAUGUUAGAUGUUUUACAUUUUAUCUAUUGUCCCACUUUUCAUCAUGAAAUUGAAAAUCUUCAAUAAUGUAGAAUUAUUAACUCACCAUAUGUUGUCUAGUAGGGACUACAUUCUGUGUUGGACUUGCCUCCAUCAAUGAAGCACAAACAUUUUUUUAAUUGGAAAACAUGUUCUGUGAAAAUAUAAAUUAGUACAGCAAAAAACAAGAUGAAGAGUUGUGCAGAAGCAGAUGUUUGGUGUUCUCGGUGGUUAUAAGUGUGAAACAAAAAGGAUGUGGGGAGGUAAAAAUAGCUCAGUACCCAUGAAGCAUUGCUUCCAUCCUGCAUCAAGCUACUUCAGAAGCCUCUGAUAAAGCUUUGAUAAUGUCUGCUAUUGCAAUGUUCAGCUGCUCGAGCCUGGCACACCAGACUGUCUCUCCAUGCUCAGGGAUACAUGUCUUUAUAUGUGUGUAACAUAAAUAAAGUCAGUCUGGCACGCCAGGCUGCAGCUGCUCAGCUGUGGUCCUGUACAGGCAGCAAAUAAAGGAUUUGCACUUUGCUGAUGUGUCUCCAGCCGGGUCACCUGGACAUUACCAGGAUUAUUUAUUCAGAUGACUUUUCACUUUUCUUACUUAUUAAACUAAAUAUCCACACUUCC